rnacentral:lncRNA from 1 species
UGGGUAAAUGUGUUAUGUUCUGACUGCUCCACUGACUGGCUGUCCCAACCCUGCUCCAGGCCUCUCUGUUCCUUGAGACACAACAAUAUUGAAAUUGGGCCAAUGAAUAACCCUACAGUAGCCUAUCAUUCACUUUGGGGAGCGGAAGCUGUUGUGAGCAACCCUAUGUGAGCCUCCUGUCCUCAGCUACAUCGAUGAGCUUGGCAGUGAAUUAUCUAGUCCCAUCCAAGCUUCCAGAAGACUGCAGCCCCAGCUGACAGCUUGACUGCAACCUCAUGAAUGUUUCUGAGCUAGGACCACCCAGUUGCUUCUGAAUUCCUCACCCUCAGAAACUAUGAUACAAUAAAUGCUGAUUAUUUUAAA